CCUACGGGAGGCUGCAGUGGGGAAUAUUGGACAAUGGGCGAGAGCCUGAUCCAGCCAUGCCGCGUGUGUGAAGAAGGCCUUCGGGUUGUAAAGCACUUUCAGUGGGGAAGAAAGCCUUGGGGCUAAUACCCUCGAGGAAGGACAUCACCCACAGAAGAAGCACCGGCUAACUCCGUGCCAGCAGCCGCGGUAAUACGGAGGGUGCGAGCGUUAAUCGGAAUUACUGGGCGUAAAGCGCGCGUAGGCGGUCUGAUAAGCCGGUUGUGAAAGCCCCGGGCUCAACCUGGGAACGGCAUCCGGAACUGUGAGGCUAGAGUGCAGGAGAGGAAGGUAGAAUUCCCGGUGUAGCGGUGAAAUGCGUAGAGAUCGGGAGGAAUACCAGUGGCGAAGGCGGCCUUCUGGACUGACACUGACGCUGAGGUGCGAAAGCGUGGGUAGCAAACAGGAUUAGAUACCCCGGUAGUC
rnacentral:rRNA from 1 species